GCAAGUCGAGCGGGCGUAGCAAUACGUCAGCGGCAGACGGGUGAGUAACGCGUGGGAACGUACCUUUUGGUUCGGAACAACACAGGGAAACUUGUGCUAAUACCGGAUAAGCCCUUACGGGGAAAGAUUUAUCGCCGAAAGAUCGGCCCGCGUCUGAUUAGCUAGUUGGUGAGGUAAUGGCUCACCAAGGCGACGAUCAGUAGCUGGUCUGAGAGGAUGAUCAGCCACAUUGGGACUGAGACACGGCCCAAACUCCUACGGGAGGCAGCAGUGGGGAAUAUUGGACAAUGGGGGCAACCCUGAUCCAGCCAUGCCGCGUGAGUGAUGAAGGCCCUAGGGUUGUAAAGCUCUUUUGUGCGGGAAGAUAAUGACGGUACCGCAAGAAUAAGCCCCGGCUAACUUCGUGCCAGCAGCCGCGGUAAUACGAAGGGGGCUAGCGUUGCUCGGAAUCACUGGGCGUAAAGGGUGCGUAGGCGGGUCUUUAAGUCAGGGGUGAAAUCCUGGAGCUCAACUCCAGAACUGCCUUUGAUACUGAAGAUCUUGAGUUCGGGAGAGGUGAGUGGAACUGCGAGUGUAGAGGUGAAAUUCGUAGAUAUUCGCAAGAACACCAGUGGCGAAGGCGGCU
rnacentral:rRNA from 1 species